ACACGUCUACAUUAGAUACCCGGGUAGUCCCAGCCGUAAACUAUGCGCGUUAGGUGUAUCGGUGACCACGAGUCACCGAGGUGCCGAAGGGAAACCGUGAAACGUGCCGCCUGGGAAGUACGGUCGCAAGGCUGAAACUUAAAGGAAUUGGCGGGGAGCACCACAACAGGUGGAGCCUGCGGUUUAAUUGGACUCAACGCCGGGAAGCUCACCGGAUAGGACAGCAGAAUGAUUGCCGGGCUGAAGACUCUGCAUGACUAGCUG
rnacentral:rRNA from 1 species